UUUAUUUCAUCUGGGUGCUUGCAUCACCUACUAACACCUGGUACUACCCGUAGCCCCCGUUCUCCUCAGUCCGAGAAAACACUGAGAAAGAACAACUUGUCAGAUGGUGCAUUGGAGACUGAUGUGUUCCUGUCCUCUUUUCACAAUACUAUUGCAGGUGCUACCAAUAAACAUACAAGGAGGGGGAGGAAAGACAAUCAGUGGCAGCUAAUAGGCCGGUGACGACGACCACCGAGCGCCACCCGACCAGGAAGGGAAGCCACCCUCGGUCGGACUCGUGACAGCCACAUUGUAACGAUUGUCAUCGGGAGAAUGAGAAGAGGACCAAAGUGUAGCGUGGGAGAAGAUUCAGGCCUGCACUCUCAAGAUUCAUCAAAGGAAUGUACUUUUCCCCACUGAACCUCUAACACAUUCAAAAUGAGUAGUUACCGCCCGGAGUGAAGUCAGAGAGCGUGCCAGCCUGCCGGAACCACCUCUAUUAUCGAUGGGUUAAGAAAAAAACACGAGACCAGAAAAGUGUGAAGCUGCAGCUGCACAUUUAAAGUGGUUUGAACUUUGAAUCUCAACACGAGGUGGACAUGAUAAACUCACCUCCCAGACAAUCACUGGUACAGCUGAUAAACUGUCCUCAGUAAAGCAUCUUCAAAAGCGAAUUUAAGUAGGACCAUCCGGUUACUCCGCUCAAAUCAAAUGUUUUUGGUCACAUACACACGGUUAGCAGAUGUUAAUGAGAGUGUAGCGAAAUGCUUGUGCUUCUAGUUCCGACAGUGCAGUAAUAUCUAACAAGUAAUCUAACAAAUUCACAACGACUACCUUAUACACACAAUGUAAGGGGAUGGAAAGAUAAUAUGUACAUAUAAAUGUAUGGAUGCGCGAUGGCCGUGCGACAUAGGCAAGAUGCAAUAGAUAUUGCAUCUUGUAUAAAAUACAAUAUAGGCAAGAUGCAAUAGAUAUUGCAUCUUGUAUAAAAUACAAUAUAUGCAAGAUGCAAUAGAUAUUGCAUCUUGUAUAAAAUACAAUAUAUGCAAGAUGCAAUAGAUAUUGCAUCUUGUAUAAAAUACAAUAUAUACAAGAUGCAAUAGAUAUUGCAUCUUGUAUAAAAUACAAUAUAUACAUAUCCUACAUUACUCAUCUCAUAUGUAAACAUUAAAAUGGCAUUAUGGCAUUAAAGUGAGUAGUGAUACCUUUAUUAAAUCCAUUUAUUAAAUGGCCAAUGAUUUGAGUCUGUAUGUUGGCAGCAGCCUUUCUAUGUUAGUGAUGACUGUUUAACAGUCUGAGGGUGGAAACAAACACUGACACGGAAAAUAAACACCCACGAAACACAAGUGGGAAAAGGCUACCUAAGUAUGAUUUUCAAUCAGAGACAACUAACGACACCUGCCUCUGAUUGAGAACCAUACCAGGCCAAACACAACAUAGAAAACGGAACAUAGACAACCCACCCAACUCACACCCUGACCAUACUAAAACGAAGACAUAACAAAGGAACUAAGGUCGGAACGUGACACCAAUUCACAAACUUAUCAAGACAACUACCCAGGUCAUCCCUACUGCCUCUGAUCUGGCAGACUCACGAAACACAUAUGCUUUGUUUGUAAAUUAUGUCUGAGUGUUGGAGUGUGCCGCUGGCUAUUCGUCAUUAAAAAUUUUAAAAAAUAUACAAUUGUGCCAUCUGGAUUGCUUAAUAGAAGGAAUUUGAAAUGGUUUAUACUUUUACUUUUGAUACUUAAGUAUAUUUUAGCAAUUCCAUUUACUUUUUACCCCCUUUUUCGUGGUAUCCAAUUGUUAGUAGUUACUGUCUUGUCUCUUCGCUACAACUCCCGUACGGGAUCGGGAGAGACAAAGGUCAAGAGCCAUGCGUCCUCUGAAACACAACCCAACCAAGCCGCACUGCUUCUUAACAUAGCGCGCAUUCAACCCUGAAGCCAGCCGCACCAAUGUGUCGGAGGAAACACCGUACACCUAGCGAUCUGGUCAGCGUGCACUGCGCCCAGCCCACCACAGGAGUCACUAGUGCGCGAUGAGACAAGGAUAUCCCUACCGGCCAAACCCUCCCUAACCCGGAUGAUGCUAGGCCAAUUGUGCGUCGCCCCAUGGAUCUCAAGGUCGCGGCCGGCUGCGACAGAGCCUGGGCUCGAACCCAGAGUCUCUGGUGGCACAGCACCAGACCAUUGCGCCACCCGGGAGGCCGCCAUUCCAUUUACUUUUGAUACUUAAGUAUAUUUAAAACCAAAUACUUUCAAACUUUUACUAAAGAAGUAUUAUACUGGGUGACUUCACUUGAGUCAUUUUCGAAAAGGUAUCUUUACUUUUACUCAAGUAUGACAAUUGAGUACUUUUUCCACCACUGGGCAGACGGCAGGUUGUAUCUAAUGAAGUCCGGGACAUCGUCGUUGACCAUGUGGUAAGAGGCUGACAGAUUAGUUCACACCAAUCUGAAAAGAUCAACUGUCAAUUCGAUCAUGAGAAAAUUUCGCCAAGAAAACUGAAUUGACAGGAGAACACAUGGUGGUGGCCGUGUGCUGACCGACCAGCAGGACUGGACAGUGGUGGAAAUGGUGAGGGCCAGGAAUGACAUACGGCUGUCCAAAAUAAAAGGAUGAUGGCGCUUGAUGCUGCUGUGAACCAUCACAAGUAUAUCUUUGUUGAUGAAGUGGGCUUCAACCUGGCCAAAACUCGGCACCUUGGGCGGAUCCUCAUCGGCCAACGGGCGACUGUCCAAGUGCCUGUAAAACGUGGGGGAAACAUCUCUAUGCGCGCAGCCUUCUCUGAAGAUGGUGUGGUAGGCCAUUACUUGGACCAUACAAUGCUGCACACCUCAUUGUGUUUCUCAAUAAAAUUGAGCAGGCAGGCAAGGUGAAGGGGUCACCUAUGUCAUUGUGCUCGACAAUGUCAGGUUACACCAUGCUGAAUUGGUUCAGGCUGUUGGGCCCAUCCCCGAUUCAUGACCCUAUACCAGCCCGCAUACUCUCCUUUCCUCAAACCUAUUGAGUAUUUUGUUUUAGUAUGGAGGUGGAAGGUGUACGAUCGACAUCCCCGUGAGCAUGCCACCCUCCUUCUGGCCAUGGAUGAGACAUGCAACGAUAUUAAUGCAGACCAAUGUCAGGCUUGGAUUCGCCAUACAAGAAGGUUUUUCCCACGGUGCAUGAACAAUGACAUUCACUGUGAUAUGGAUGAGAAUUUAUGGCCAAAUGCUCACAGUCUUAAUGCAAAUUAAUGCGUGCUAAACGUUAUGUUUUAUUUUCAUUCAUUUGUUUCAUCAAAUUUCUUACAUUUGAUUACAUGCAGUACACCUAUGUUGCAAUUGUGCGUGAAUGAUUCUAGAGGAUGUCUAUGUUGAUCACAUAUUGGAUAGAUAUGGAAGGGAUAGAUUUUCUGUCAAUUUUGUUGGGUAAUGUACACUACCGUUCAAAGGUUUGGGGUCACUUAGAAAUGUCCUUUUUUUUUAAAGAAAAGCUAAUUUUUUCCCAUUAAAAUAACAUAUUGAUCCGAAA
ensembl:lncRNA